GUGGGGAAUAUUGCGCAAUGGGCGAAAGCCUGACGCAGCGACGCCGCGUGAGGGAUGAAGGUUUUCGGAUCGUAAACCUCUGUCAGAAGGGAAGAAACUACGUUGUGCUAAUCAGCAGCGUACUGACGGUACCUUCAAAGGAAGCACCGGCUAACUCCGUGCCAGCAGCCGCGGUAAUACGGAGGGUGCAAGCGUUAAUCGGAAUUACUGGGCGUAAAGCGCACGUAGGCUGUAGUGUAAGUCAGGGGUGAAAUCCCACGGCUCAACCGUGGAACUGCCUUUGAUACUGCACAACUUGAAUCCGGGAGAGGGUGGCGGAAUUCCAGGUGUAGGAGUGAAAUCCGUAGAUAUCUGGAGGAACACCGGUGGCGAAGGCGGCCACCUGGACAGGUACUGACGCUGAGGCGCGAAAGCGUGGGGAGCAAACAGGAUUAGAUACCCCUGUAGUCC
rnacentral:rRNA from 1 species